UCUCUCUCUCUCUCUCUCUCUCUCUCUCUCAAUCGACAUCUCACACAAACACACGAGCACCAUCACUGACCACCACUAGCCAUUGCCCCUACGAUGAUGUUAGUUACACGAGUACCAAUCGAUUGAUUCCAAGCCACAAUGAUGUUAGUUACACGAGCACCAAUCGAUUGAUUCUGAGCUUGGCAUUUGAUUCUAAUUUCGAGCUUGGAGUUCGAUUCUAAUUCUGAGCCCCUUCCACGGAUUUGAUUUUCUUUCAACGAUUUAUAGAGAGACGGGAGCUUAUGAGAAAGCAUUGAAGCUAUGAAAAUAUCUAAAUGUGCUGGUUUUUCAAUUGCAAACCUUCCAACUGGUUUAAAUACGGAUCAAAGUAAUGGCGUGUCGAGCUUAAACAAUGUCAAAUGCAAGUUGUUGCAUUGGGAGGGAACAAACUUGGUGGUUGCAGAAGGCCAAAUUGCAUCAAGGGAUCCCAAGUCAAAGGCACAUCAUGUGACCUUUGGACCUUUGUGUUGGAAAGUAUGGGUGAACCACGUAACAGUCAACGUGCCGUUGUUUCGUUCUACUCAUGAAAUGUAUGAUCUUCAAGAUGUAAUAGGAACUACAGUUGCAUGGUGUAGACGCGCCCUCUGGCCUUAUGCUACAGUUCGGACUCAAUUGGUGUCACGGUCCUGUAUCUAAUCUCGCAGAGUGCAAUGCAAGACCGAUGAAUCAUCAAAGAGUCUAGA